CAUGCAAGUCGAGCGGAUGUUUACGCUAUUUGCGGCCUUCGGGCCAAAGAUUUGUAAACAUUAGCGGCGGACGGGUGAGUAGCGCGUGGAUAAUCUGCCUUAUGGCUUGGGACAACAGUUCGAAAGGACUGCUAAUACCGGAUAAGCUUACGAAGCCGCAUGGUUUAGUAAGAAAAGUUCAGGCGCCAUAAGAUGAGUCCGCGUAUGAUUAGCUAGUUGGCGGGAUAAAAGCCCACCAAGGCGACGAUCAUUAGCCGGCCUGAGAGGGCGAUCGGCCACAUUGGGACUGAGACACGGCCCAAACUCCUACGGGAGGCAGCAGUGGGGAAUAUUGCACAAUGGGCGCAAGCCUGAUGCAGCAACGCCGCGUGAGGGAAGAAGGUUUUCGGAUCGUAAACCUCUAUCGAUGGGGAAGAAAUCCGCUUAGGCGGAUUGACGGUACCCAAGUAAGAAGCCCCGGCUAACUACGUGCCAGCAGCCGCGGUAAUACGUAGGGGGCAAGCGUUAUCCGGAAUUACUGGGUGUAAAGGGUGAGUAGCCGGCUGGGCAAGUCACAUGUGAAAUUCCUAGGCUUAACCUAGGAACCGCAUGAGAAACUGCCAAGCUAGAGUACAGGAGAGGUAAGCGGAAUUCCUUGUGUAGCGGUGAAAUGCGUAGAUAUAAGGAAGAACACCAGUGGCGAAGGCGGCUUACUGGACUGAAACUGACGGUGAGUCACGAAAGCGUGGGGAGCGAACAGGAUUAGAUACCCUGGUAGUCCACGCCGUAAACGAUGAUAGCUAGGUGUUGGGGUGAGAGCCUCGGUGCCGGAGCAAACGCAAUAAGCUAUCCACCUAGGGAGUACGGCCGCAAGGCUGAAACUUAAAGGAAUUGACGGGGGCCCGCACAAGCGGUGGAGCAUGUGGUUUAAUUCGACGCAACGCGAAGAACCUUACCAAGGCUUGACAUCCCGCUGACCGGUACAGAGAUGUACCUUCCCUUCGGGGCAGCGGAGACAGGUGGUGCAUGGUUGUCGUCAGCUCGUGUCGUGAGAUGUUGGGUUAAGUCCCGCAACGAGCGCAACCCUUACUUUUAGUAGCCAGCGAGUAAAGUCGGGUACGCUAGAGGGACUGCCGUGGAGAACACGGAGGAAGGUGGGGAUGAUGUCAAAUCAUCAUGCCCCUUAUGUCUUGGGCUACACACGUGCUACAAUGGCGCAUACAAAGUGAAGCGAAAGCGUGAGCUGGAGCCAAUCACAAAAAGGCGCCUCAGUUCGGAUUGUAGGCUGCAACCCGCCUGCAUGAAGUUGGAAUCGCUAGUAAUCGCGAAUCAGCAUGUCGCGGUGAAUACGUUCCCGGGCCUUGUACACACCGCCCGUCACACCAUGGGAGUUGGAAGCGCCCGAAGCCUGUGACCUAACGCGCAAGCGAAGGAGCAGUCGAAGGUGAAGUCAGCGACUGGGGUG
rnacentral:rRNA from 1 species